GGGCGAGUGGUCUAGUGGUAUGAUUUUCCCUUAGCAAGCGGGUUUCACAAGAAAACCCAACAACUUGGGAGAGGUCCGGGGUUCAAUUCCCCGCUCGUCCA